UACGAAGGGGGCUAGCGUUGCUCGGAAUCACUGGGCGUAAAGCGCACGUAGGCGGAUCGUUAAGUCAGGGGUGAAAUCCUGGAGCUCAACUCCAGAACUGCCUUUGAUACUGGCGACCUUGAGUUCGGGAGAGGUGAGUGGAACUGCGAGUGUAGAGGUGAAAUUCGUAGAUAUUCGCAAGAACACCAGUGGCGAAGGCGGCUCACUGGCCCGAUACUGACGCUGAGGUGCGAAAGCGUGGGAGCAAACAGG
rnacentral:rRNA from 1 species